GCUCCACUAACGUAUAUUAAAGUUGCUGCGGUUAAAAAACUCGUAGUUGGAUUUCUGUCGGGAACGGCUGGCCGUCCACUGGAUGUGUAUCUGCUUCGGUUUCGGCACCUUCGUGGGGAACAUUGCUGCACUUGACUGUGUGGUACGGUAUCCAUGACAUUUACUUUGAAGAAAUUAGAGUGUCCAAGCAAGCGCACGCC
rnacentral:rRNA from 1 species